GGUGGAGCGAUUUGUCUGGUUAAUUCCGAUAACGAACGAGACUCCAGCCUGCUAAUUAGUGCGUUCGUCCACUGUCCCUGUUGGACGGCGUUGAAUGCGGCUGCUUGUGGGCCCUAGGUCUACUCUGCGGCUUGUCAGACGACGUUAGUCCUCGGGGGCGGCGCGAAUGCUCACUUCUUAGAGGGACAAGCGGGAGAAGCCGCACGAAAUAGAGCAAUAACAGGUCUGUGAUGCCCUUAGAUGUCCGGGGCCGCACGCGCGCUACAAUGGCGGUGUCAACGAGUGAGACCUUCUGGCCCGAAAGGGUUGGAUAAACUGGUCAAUCACCGUCAUGACAGGGAUCGGGGCUUGGAAUUGUUCCCCGUGAACGAGGAAUUCCUAGUAAGUGCAAGUCAUAAGCUUGCGCUGAUUACGUCCCUGCCCUUUGUACACACCGCCCGUCGCUACUACCGAUUGAAUGGUUUAGUAAGGUCCUUGGAUCGGCGCCUCUGUAGCUGUCGCCGAAAGGUGUGCAGCUCGUUUGGUGCUGAGAAGAUGACCAAACUUGAUCAUUUAGAGGAAGUAAAAGUCGUAACAAGGUUUCCGUAGGUGAACCUGCGGAAGGAUCAUUACACGUUCU
rnacentral:rRNA from 1 species